rnacentral:rRNA from 1 species
AGUGAACGCUGGCGGUAGGCCUAACACAUGCAAGUCGAACGGCAGCACAGUAAGAGCUUGCUCUUACGGGUGGCGAGUGGCGGACGGGUGCGGAAUACAUCGGAAUCUACUUUUUCGUGGCGUAUAACGUAGGGAAACUUACGCUAAUACCGCAUACGACCUACGGGUGAAAGCAGUGGCUCUUCUGACCUUGCGCGAUUGAAUGAGCCGAUGUCGGAUUAGCUAGUUGGCGGGGUAAAGGCCCACCAAGGCGACGAUCCGUAGCUGGUCUGAGAGGAUGAUCAGCCACACUGGAACUGAGACACGGUCCAGACUCCUAAGGGAGGCAGCAGUGGGGAAUAUUGGACAAUGGGCGCAAGCCUGAUCCAGCCAUACCGCGUGAGUGAAGAAGGCCUUCGGGUUGUAAAGCCCUUUUGUUGGGAAAGAAAAGCAGCAGGUUAAUACCCCGCUGUCCUGACGGUACCCAAAGAAUAAGCACCGGCUAACUUCGUG